AGUUAGUUUUCAGUGCGUUCCUUGCAGUUGUUUCCCCAUGUGAUUCAGUUUGUGGAAUGGCAUUUUCUUAGUCAGAAGGAUAGCUAGUUACUUGAUAUACUAUCUUCAUUUUCUUUAAUAACUUGUCUCGUUGACUUUGCAGGGAACACAUAUUGUUCCAUUACUGUACUCCGUGCUGUAUGAUGAAUCUCAGUGGGAAAAACCUUAUAAAUUCUAUCCUGAGCAUUUCCUUGAUUCUGAAGGAAAUUUUGUAAAGAGAGAUGCCUUCAUGCCUUUCUCUGCAGGUCGGCGAAUCUGUGCUGGUGAGACCCUUGCCAAAAUGGAGCUGUUCCUGUUCUUUGCAAGUCUCCUGCAGAGAUUCACUUUCCAGCCAGCCCCUGGGACGUCUAAAGAAGACCUGGACCUUACCCCUGAUGUUGCGUUUACUACACCUCCGAUGCCCUACCAUAUCUGUGCUUUGCAACAUGCAUAAGACUGAUGUUCCCAUCUUACUUAGCUGCCACAACUGAUCCUUGUGUUAUGUAGUACACCACCCUUUUGUGCCUGCCAUUUUAGAGCAGUAGACCCAUGACAAAAUUGUUCCAUGCUUUGUCACAAAUCCGCAACUUCUGACCCAGCCACUGAGAAUCAAGCCUAUGCCUCUCUUCACAGCCCUCAACUGCCCAGCCCCAGUCUAGCUUCUGUUUCUUGGUCUCACUAAGCUGUGUGACUGAAUAGAGGAUGGAACUGGCUUCUGGAAGCCUGCCUGGCACAGAAAGUGGACAUGCUUGUUUUUUGUGUGACUGUGUAUGAAUAGCAGGAUUUGAGUCCAGUGGCACCUUAGAGGCCAACAUGAUUUUCAGAGGGUAAGCUUUUGAGAGUCAGAGCUCCCUUCCCUCUGUCUGAGGAAAGGAAAAUCUUGUUGGUCUCUAAGGUGCCCCUGGACUCAAAUCCUGCUAUUCUACUGCAGACUGACAUGGUUUCCCAUUUAAAACUAUGCAUGAAUAGUUAGGGUUUUUGUUUAUUGUUUUUGUUUGUUUGUUGUUUGUUUAUUCUUACCAUCCUCCAAAACACAAAGGGUUUUUUUGUUACGCUUAAAACUAAACCUCGGACGCUACAACUGGACAUUAAGUUCUUAUCUCACAAGUUGUUCAGGGCUGGGGGUUUCAGGUUUCUGAUUUGGGUUUUUUACCUGAAUUGGGUCUGCUUAGGAAUUAUUCGGUAUUUUCAAAUCAGCCCAAGCAUUGCUGAGCCCAUUCGGAAAUACCAAAGCAAACCUUACCGAAAACUUUGGAGCGUUUCAGAAAGGUUGGAUAGAGCGGCAGCAGCCAUAGCACUUUUCAUGCUGUUUGCAAACAGCAAGAAAAGUACUGCUCUCAAGCGUCCCACUGCCUUUUUUUACCUUAUUGGAAGGGGGAGGAGGCAGUUGUAGUGAGUUACAUGCUUCAUAGGUUCCACACUGAUAGCAAAAUUAUUCAACAAACUAUUGAGUAGCAUAUUCAAAAUGGAAGAUCUGCAACAAAUGAAGGCGUUUACAAGAAAUGUCUUGAAACAAUUAAUCUUGGGAUAGUUACAUUCAAACUGAUAGUUUUUUGGAAUCAAUGAAUUUCACACAAGGUACUGACAGUAAAAUUCUAAACAUAGUUAUUCUAGUCUUAGCCCAUUGAUUUUAAAGGGCUUAGACUGGAGUGACUGUGCUAAGGACUGGUGUAACUCUGCUUAGGAUUUCACUGUACAUGUGCAAACAGAGCUUGUUCAGACUUGGUGCUGGAAGUUUUCACUUGCUUAUUUUGUUAUGAUAUUCAUUCAUAAACCUUAGUUAAAAGAAGGAAGGUAAUUUUUUUUCCAUUUUGCAGGGCUUGUUUAAUUUAGAACCAGGAGCCAUCCAACACAUUAAUUCAACUUGUCAUUCUACUAUUAUUAUAAUAAAAUAGAGCUUACCCUC